GCCUAGACUUAGUGUGAAGUAAAGCCCUCUGAAAUGCUGAUAGGUGAAACGCAAGGUCCUUAGUACCACCUGUUUCACUCUACAGAGCACUCCUACUGAGCUGCACUAUUUGGAAUUACAGACAUAGCUCUACUAAGAACUACAAGAUGUGACUGCCAGAGCUAGAACAGCUUGGACUUGGGACUAACCUCACAAUGAAUUUUCUUGUGUUUAGUAGGUUUGAUUGGAUUCAGUCUCUGGCCAUUUAAAAACUGCCAUAUAAUCAAUAGAGAAGCUGAAAUACUGAAUGAGACUGAUGAGAAAAGAUUCUUGGUAACAAAAUAUGUGUAGCAUUUUCUUUUAGGCUCUUUACAUGUAACUGUGCAAUAUGACAAUUUUCUGUUGGUCAUGGGAGCCUGUUUAUAGAAGUGUUCUUCAGUACCUGUCAAGCUUCUGUUAUUUACCUGGCAUAAGCAUGUGAAAACGCACAUUGUAGAAUGAAGUUCUACAUGCUAGUCAUUCCUUCUACUGUGUAGAGUUUGCCCAAGUGUAUAUUGUUUUUGCAUGAAGACCGUAUUAUAAAAUAAUCAUUUUCAUGUGUCAUAAAUUCACCAUCCCUAUGACAAUAAGCAUUUUUUCCCCCAAGAUAUGAGUUAAUUUAAGUAGUCUUACUUCUUAGUAGUCAUUGUGCUAAACACUUGGAUGCUGUGCGCAUUAUGUUUUCCUGAAUUCAUUUUGUUUGCUUCUUUUAACAUAAAGCCAUUUUCUCUGGCCAGCUCUACCAGUCUUCUCCCUUGUGCUUUGGCCUUGGUCUGUUUUUCUGUGUUCCUCUAAUGACAUAUUGAUCACAUUACUGCUGAGAAGUGGAGGACUGAAAUAUCAUGUAAACAUGUACAUUUCUUUUUCAUAAUUUGCGUCAGGGAUUAUACAUGGAAGUUUAACUGGCUUUGAAAUUCAAGCGUUGUCAGAAAUUCUAAAUCCACAGACGUAGACGUGGGGGACAAAAGUCACCCCGUUUCCUACCCUUGGACCAAGACCUGCUGUAUGGCUUCAGCGUGGUAUUACACACCUUGUGUGAUGCCAGCUGCAUUACUCAAUCCUGAUUGGGGUGAGGAAAUUUGCGGGGGGGGGGCGGACAAUGAAAGUCCCGAUUUAGUGCCAGUGAGGUGCUACUGCUCUUCUCCAGCCUCUGGGCUGAGCUGGCAGGCAGGUGUCACCUGGCUUUGAGAAGCCUUCUUACUACUUAUUAGCAUCUGAUCUGUUAGCUGUUCCAACAUGGUAGUUGUAGCAGAUGCAUGUGGCAAUGUAUUUCUGAACUCCUAAGAUCUGAUGAAAUAGAUUUUUAGCAGAAAGUCUGUUUUAGAGAAAAGGCAUUAAUAUCUCACUUUGUCAGUGUUUGAUUCUGCAUAAUCUAAGACAGGCACUCAAGUUGAAUUUUCUUUAUUUGGUGAAUUUCUGUUGAAACAGGAAAGCCAUGAAUAUUUCUGUGAUUUGCUUGUGGAAAAAUAGGAAAGGAAAAAAAGGAAAAUACUUUUCAUGAAAUAUUGUGCAAGUUAUGCUGGUUUAUAUAGCAUUUAUGAGGUAGAAAACAAAAGUAACAUUUUUAGCCAUUGUACUUAUUAACAGUGUUAACUGUAUGACUCUGUUCUGAAGACAAAAUAAAAAUAUGCAAACUAAAUAACAAUAAUUUUAAAAAACACACACAAAAAGGAACAAAUGUAACUUGAAGUCAUAUAACACACACAAAAAGGAACAAAUGUAACUUGAAGUCAUAUGAUGAAUUUCUAGUCGUUUUCGUGUUCCCAACUUUUCACUCCAAAAUAUUGCAAGCAUAAUUGUAUAAUGUUUGCGGAGUAAGUAAAUACCAGGUACCUGCAAUGAGUGAAAGAGAAAAGAAUGUUUUCGUACUGUAUCUUUGCUGUGUGGUCUGCUUUUUAAUCAAUAAGCAAAUUCUGAAUGCAGGCAGAUAAUUAUUUAUCCUUGAAAAAUAUAUGCAAUGAUAAUUGGAAUGCUAAUGUUUAACCCCUGGUGGUGUUUGUGACAGUUUUUUGGAGAAGAUUUUUGGAAUUUCGUUUUGGUCUCAUGUUCAGAUGACUGGUUUUGGUAUCUUGGACAUAAAUAUCUAGUUGUUCCCAUUUUAGGCCAAGUGUGAAUUUUCAGAUUUACAGAUUACAGAUGUUAGGUCUUUCUUAUUCAGUGCUGGGUUUAUUUGUUUCUGAUAGGUCAGAUAAUGGUUUUCAAGCUCCUUUUCCACUCUUGAAAGGUCUUUGGGGCACUUAGCCUGCAUUAUACCUAAGAGGUCUGAGAGUUCUUCAACAAAGAAAGAAUUUCUAGAUACCUUCCUUCUGGAUGUGUCAAGGGCAAUAAAGACAAAAGACUGAUGUCUCCUUUAACAGCUUGAUAAGUAUCUCAGGAUAUUCUGUGAGAAUCAGUGCUGUUUCUAACGUGUACUGUAUUCCCAUUCAGCACAAUAUGGUUCAAUGUGUAUACUAUAUGUGACAAUGGUGAAGACUUAUCUUUGCCCUCAGGGCUGAGUGCUGUAACACUUCUCAAGUGAUAGGUUUGAUAGAAAUGAUGAUUCAGAGGCAAUGAUCUGCUAAGAAGUCACAUUAAAUAUGUGUGAGA